UACGGGGGGGGCAAGCGUUGUUCGGAAUUACUGGGCGUAAAGGGCUCGUAGGCGGCCAACUAAGUCCGACGUGAAAUCCCCAGGCUUAACCUGGGAACUGCGUCGGAUACUGGAUGGCUUGAAUUCGGGAGAGGGAUGCAGAAUUCCAGGUGUAGCGGUGAAAUGCGUAGAUAUCUGGAGGAAUACCGGUGGCGAAGGCGGCAUCCUGGACCGACAUUGACGCUGAAGCGCGAAAGCUAGGGGAGCGAACGGG
rnacentral:rRNA from 1 species